rnacentral:rRNA from 1 species
CUGGAGAGUGGCGCACGGGUGAGUAACGCGUGGGGACCUACCUCUUAGUGGGGGAUAACGGUUGGAAACGACCGCUAAUACCGCAUACGCCCUUCGGGGGAAAGAUUUAUCGCUAAGAGAUGGACCCGCGUUGGAUUAGAUAGUUGGUGAGGUAACGGCUCACCAAGUCAGCGAUCCAUAGCUGGUUUGAGAGGAUGAUCAGCCACACUGGGACUGAGACACGGCCCAGACUCCUACGGGAGGCAGCAGUGGGGAAUAUUGGACAAUGGGGGCAACCCUGAUCCAGCCAUGCCGCGUGAGUGAAGAAGGCCUUCGGGUUGUAAAGCUCUUUCAGAUGCGAAGAUGAUGACGGUAACAUCAGAAGAAGCCCCGGCUAAUUUCGUGCCAGCAGCCGCGGUAAUACGAAAGGGGCUAGCGUUGUUCGGAUUUACUGGGCGUAAAGGGCACGCAGGCGGUCUUGCCAGUCAGGGGUGAAAGCCCGAGGCUCAACCUCGGAACUGCCUCUGAUACUGUAAGACUUGAGACUA